CACACGGGUUAGAGCCACCUUGGAGUCUUGCUGGUGUCGUAGAGGGGUAUGGGCUGUCAAGGGGGGUCCUAUGGCAUGCUAGGACAUGGUGCCGCUGUCAAACAUGGGCUGCAGGAUGAGAACAGGUCCAGAGCAUCAUUUCUGCAUGCCAGGGAUGUGGUCACCACACGCGUUCAUGUCCAUUGUGGCAUUUUGGUGAGUCAAAGGUGUGUGAUAUGCAAGGCAUGCGUGCAGAACGGUGAUGGAGAAGUUUGGUCUCAUAUGGGGCAAUGCAGUUGGGGUUUCCUCUAUGUUUAAGUUUGCAACAACAAACUUUGGGCUAGGAUAAAGUGUUUUUACUCGGAGGAAUUUGAAAUGAAACCUUGUCUAGUAGUCUUAGGCAUGGAAGGACUACAAUUUUACUAAGUUUGAUAUCACGUAGAUGAGAAUACCUAGCACUUGUAGUUCAAGGCUUCAUUUCUACCAAAAAACCAAGUUUUAGAAGGGCUUCUCAUAUUUCCCACAUGAGCAUGCCAUAUCUUUGCAUGAAAUGGUGCAUUAGCACUCUAGAGGUGUUUUGAAAAGAGGUGGGGCAUUGGCAUGAACAGAAAUAUUGUGAGAGGGUUAAGGAGGGGCUGCCAUGGUAAAAAGAAGGGGUAAAGAGAGG
rnacentral:lncRNA from 1 species